CAGUGGCGAACGGGUGAGUAACACGUGAGCAACCUGCCCCUGACUCUGGGAUAAGCGCUGGAAACGGCGUCUAAUACUGGAUAUGUGACGUGACCGCAUGGUCUGCGUUUGGAAAGAUUUUUCGGUUGGGGAUGGGCUCGCGGCCUAUCAGCUUGUUGGUGAGGUAAUGGCUCACCAAGGCGUCGACGGGUAGCCGGCCUGAGAGGGUGACCGGCCACACUGGGACUGAGACACGGCCCAGACUCCUACGGGAGGCAGCAGUGGGGAAUAUUGCACAAUGGGCGGAAGCCUGAUGCAGCAACGCCGCGUGAGGGAUGACGGCCUUCGGGUUGUAAACCUCUUUUAGCAGGGAAGAAGCGAAAGUGACGGUACCUGCAGAAAAAGCGCCGGCUAACUACGUGCCAGCAGCCGCGGUAAUACGUAGGGCGCAAGCGUUAUCCGGAAUUAUUGGGCGUAAAGAGCUCGUAGGCGGUUUGUCGCGUCUGCUGUGAAAUCCCGAGGCUCAACCUCGGGCCUGCAGUGGGUACGGGCAGACUAGAGUGCGGUAGGGGAGAUUGGAAUUCCUGGUGUAGCGGUGGAAUGCGCAGAUAUCAGGAGGAACACCGAUGGCGAAGGCAGAU
rnacentral:rRNA from 1 species